rnacentral:sRNA from 1 species
ACCGCCCCGGUGCUGGCCCUCGCCAUGGAGCAGAGGCGGGGACAGCUGGCCACCGUGUCCCAGGACCGCACCGUCCGCAUCUGGGACCUGGCCACCCUGCAGCAGCUAUACGACUUCACAUCAUCAGAGGAAGCCCCGUGCGCUGUCACCUUCCACCCCACAAGGCCAACCUUUUUCUGUGGCUUUAGCAGUGGGGCUGUGCGCUCCUUCAGCCUGGAGGCCGCUGAGGUCCUGGUGGAACACACGUGCCACCGAGGAGCUGUCACCAGCCUGACCGCCACCCCUGACGGCCGCCUGCUCUUCAGCUCCUGCUCCCAGGGCUCCCUGGCCCAGUACAGCUGUGCGGACCCCCAGUGGCAUGUCCUCCGAGUGGCAGGUUGGGCCCCCUGCAGCCACUCUGGGGGACUCCUCAGGGCAGGGGAGGCCUGGGUCUGGUGCAGGCCAACACCUGGACACACAUGCCGGUUUCCUGGUCCACCGACUGGGUCCUGUUGGGGGGCGUGGCCGCCUCA